AUGCCAAAGCGUCCACUGUCGCUGAACAAACAGAUGGCCCAGUGGGCCGAGCUCCACAAGAUAUCAGGAUCUGCUACAAAGGACGUCGUGGUCCGGCUGUGGCCGACUGAGCCAAUUCAGAAUAGUUAUUUCGGUUUGGUGCAGCGACUUGUUGAUGCGGCGCUGUGUAUCGAUGCUAUUAAGCGGUCGACGUGCAUAGAAGGUGCACGGAUGGCCUUUGCCCGCAUCAAGACGUACUGGGCGAAGAUGAAGGCCACCGAUAUUGUAGCGAAAAGUCCACCCAAGGGCAAGGACCAUCACACGCCAGAGCAUUAUGUUGAGGAUGUCCUAGAGGGUGCCUGCUUGAUAGAGGGUCAGUGCUCGAAAGAAAUUAUGUUCGAGUGA
rnacentral:rRNA from 1 species